ensembl:snRNA U2 U2 spliceosomal RNA
AUCGCUUCUCGGCCUUUUGGCUAAGAUCAAGUUUAGUAUCUGUUCUUAUCAGUUUAAUAUCUGAUACGCCCCCUAUCUGGGGGCCAUAUAUUAAAUGGAUUUUUAGAACAGGAAGAUGGAAGAAGAACUUGCUCUGUCCACUCCACUCAUUGACCUGGUAUUGCAGUACCUCCAGGACCGGUGCACAAAAA